UAGAUCGGGGAUAACUCAGGGAAACUGAUGCUAAUACCCGAUAUGGCGAGAGCUGAAAGAUUAAUUGCCUGAAGAUGAGCUCGCGUCCGAUUAGCUAGUUGGAGUGGUAAUGGCACCCCAAGGCGACGAUCGGUAGCUGGUCUGAGAGGAUGAUCAGCCACACUGGGACUGAGACACGGCCCAGACUCCUACGGGAGGCAGCAGUGGGGAAUUUUCCGCAAUGGGCGAAAGCCUGACGGAGCAAUACCGCGUGCGGGAGGACGGCCUUUGGGUUGUAAACCGCUUUUCUCAGGGAAGAAGAUCUGACGGUACCUGAGGAAUCAGCAUCGGCUAACUCCGUGCCAGCAGCCGCGGUAAUACGGAGGAUGCAAGCGUUAUCCGGAAUUAUUGGGCGUAAAGCGUCCGCAGGUGGUUGGUCAAGUCUGCUGUCAAAGCGUGGAGCUUAACUCCAUAAGGGCGGUGGAAACUGAUUAACUAGAGGAUGGUAGGGGUCACGGGAAUCCCCAGUGUAGCGGUGAAAUGCGUAGAUAUUGGGAAGAACACCAGCGGCGAAAGCGCGUGACUGGGCCAUUACUGACACUCAUGGACGAAAGCUAGGGGAGCGAAAGGGAUUAGAUACCCCUGUAGU
rnacentral:rRNA from 1 species